ensembl:rRNA 5S_rRNA 5S ribosomal RNA
GCUUACGGCCAUACCAGCCGAAGAACGCCUGGUCUCGUCUGAUCCCGGAAGCUAAGAGGCUUGGGCCUUGUUAUACUACUUGGAUGGGAGACUGCCUGGGAAUACAAGGUGCUGUAAGCU